rnacentral:rRNA from 1 species
AGCAGCCGCGGUAAUUCCAGCUCCAAUAGCGUAUAUUAAAGUUGUUGCAGUUAAAAAGCUCGUAGUUGAAUUUCGGGAUCAGUGGGUCGGUCGUGCCAAUGGUAUGUACUGGCCCUACUGAUUCCUCCUUCUUGAAGAACUGUAAUGCCAUUAAUUUGGUGUUGCAGGGAAACAGGACUGUUACUUUGAAAAAAUUAGAGUGUUUAAAGCAGGCAAUCGCUUGAAUACAUUAGCAUGGAAUAAUGAAAUAGGACGUUCGAUCCUAUUUUGUUGGUUUCUAGGAUUGACGUAAUGAUUAAUAGGGAUAGUUGGGGGCAUUAGUAUCCAAUUGUCAGAGGUGAAAUUCUUGGAUUUAUUGAAGACUAACUACUGCGAAAGCAUUUGCCAAGGAUGUUUUCAUUAAUCAAGAACGAAAGUUAGGGGAUCGAAGACGAUCAGAUACCGUCGUAGUCUUAACCAUAAACUAUGCCGACUAGGGAUCGGAUGAUGUUAAUUUUAUAAUGACUCU